UACGUAGGUGGCAAGCGUUGUCCGGAAUUAUUGGGCGUAAAGCGCGCGCAGGCGGUCCUUUAAGGCUGGUGGGAAAGCCCACGGCUUAACCGUGGAGGGUCAUUGGAAACUGGGGGACUUGAGUGCAGAAGAGGAAAGUGGAAUUCCACGUGUAGCGGUGAAAUGCGUAGAGAUGUGGAGGAACACCAGUGGCGAAGGCGACUUUCUGGUCUGUAACUGACGCUGAGGCGCGAAAGCGUGGGGAGCAAACAGG
rnacentral:rRNA from 1 species